GCCGGGCAUGGUGACGCAUGCCUGUAAUCUCAGCUACUCGGAGGCUGAGGCAGGAGAAUCGCUUGAACCCAGGAGGCUGAGGUUGCAGUGAGCCAAGAUUGCGCCACUGCACUCCAGCCUGGGUGACAGAAUAAGACUCCGUCUCAA
ensembl:misc_RNA Metazoa_SRP Metazoan signal recognition particle RNA